CAACUUGGUAGUCAAUUACAGCCACUCAUAUAUAUAUAUAUAUAUAGAUAUACUGAAUACAUCGCUAUAUUUGCAUUUAAUAACAGCUCCUUAUACUUGAUGCGAUGAUGAGAAAAUUACUAAAGAUGAGAUGUCAAAUCCCUUCUAUGUCAAACAACUGUUUUAAUUUUGCGAUAGAAUAUUUACACAACAUUUAAAAAAGAAACUGCAAAGAACAUAGCAUAUAAUAAAUUAUAAGAACUGGUCAACAAUUUACACUUAGUAGUAACACUAUAUUUGAAUUGUCUCGUCUAUAAAGUCACACAGGAGAUCUACAAUAUCAAAAUAUUAUACACAAGAACAAGAUCUAUAAUUCAUAACAAUUUGAAGUAUUGAUAGUAAAGUGUAAUACCAUUUCGUAGGCAUUUCAAUUUUAAAAAUUUGAAGAUUGCCUUUUUAUGGAUGCUUUUUGACGAUCUAUUACAUCUAAUAAAAUUAACUAUAUGUUCUUCAAUGUGAAUUUACAAUAACAUUAUUAAAUAUAUAGUACCUGCUUUUAUAUCAGUUUUGAAAUUAAAUUAAUAUAGAAUGACAUUGUCUACAAUUACAUUGCAAAAAAUAACAUUGUGCAGUAAUAUUUAUAUAACAUUGUACAGUUAUUGUAUAAUAACAAUGAAACAAUAAUAAUAAAAUUUGUUAUAUUAAAUAUUCUUGUUGCACAAGUAUUAAAUAAUCUAUAGUAUAUAUUUGAUUUUCUAAUAUUUAAAUACAAUUUUGGAUUUAUUUAAACAUUAUAUCACGAUUAAUGUACCUUGAGU